rnacentral:rRNA from 1 species
GAUGAACGCUGGCGGCGUGCCUAAUACAUGCAAGUCGAGCGAACAGACGAGGAGCUUGCUCCUCUGACGUUAGCGGCGGACGGGUGAGUAACACGUGGAUAACCUACCUAUAAGACUGGGAUAACUUCGGGAAACCGGAUCUAAUACCGGAUAAUAUAUUGAACCGCAUGGUUCAAUAGUGAAAGACGGUUUUGCUGUCACUUAUAGAUGGAUCCGCGCCGCAUUAGCUAGUUGGUAAGGUAACGGCUUACCAAGGCAACGAUGCGUAGCCGACCUGAGAGGGUGAUCGGCCACACUGGAACUGAGACACGGUCCAGACUCCUACGGGAGGCAGCAGUAGGGAAUCUUCCGCAAUGGGCGAAAGCCUGACGGAGCAACGCCGCGUGAGUGAUGAAGGUCUUCGGAUCGUAAAACUCUGUUAUUAGGGAAGAACAAAUGUGUAAGUAACUCUGCACGUCUUGACGGUACCUACUCAGAAAGCCACGGCUAACUACGUG